UGUAAAGAUGCUUCACAUGCUUGGACAGGCUGUAAAGGUGCUUUACCUUUCCAGCUAUGACCAGACCUUAUCCAAACUACUUCUUCCUUAUCCAGACUUCCUCUUGGGCGUGAUCCACUCUCCAAAGGGAUGCAAAGUAACUUCCUAAGCUUUUAACCUAGUUACCACAGUCAAACCGAAGUUACUGUGGUAAAACUCCAAAGUUACUAUCUGCCCCAAUACUCUUCCUCUAUCAAUGUAUCACCUCUUCUCAACA
rnacentral:lncRNA from 1 species